rnacentral:rRNA from 1 species
GAGUUUGAUCCUGGUUCAGGAUGAACGCUAGCGACAGGCUUAACACAUGCAAGUCGAGGGGCAGCAUAAAAGUAGCAAUACUUUGGUGGCGACCGGCGCACGGGUGAGUAACGCGUAUGCAACCUACCUAUCAGAGGGGAAUAACCCGGCGAAAGUCGGACUAAUACCGCAUAAAACAGGGGCACCGCAUGGUGAUAUUUGUUAAAGAAAUUCGCUGAUAGAUGGGCAUGCGUUCCAUUAGGUAGUUGGUGAGGUAACGGCUCACCAAGCCGACGAUGGAUAGGGGAACUGAGAGGUUGGUCCCCCACACUGGUACUGAGACACGGACCAGACUCCUACGGGAGGCAGCAGUGAGGAAUAUUGGUCAAUGGGCGGGAGCCUGAACCAGCCAAGUCGCGUGAAGGAAGAAGGAUCUAUGGUUCGUAAACUUCUUUUGCAGGGGAAUAAAGUGCAGGACGUGUCCUGUUUUGUAUGUACCCUGAGAAUAAGGAUCGGCUAACUCCGUGCCAGCAGCCGCGGUAAUAC